CUUCAUUAUUACCAAAACAAGAGGCAUUCUAGGUGAGCCAUGACUCCACAGACAGACCUGUCUGGGAUGUGCCUCCCUGAGAAGAGCUCAGCACAAUAUCUGUCUUCCAGAGAGGCUUGUGUGUCUGGUGCAGACAGGACAGACUUGAGGAGCCCCAUCUGCUGCAGUGAGUCAUCGCUUUGCGCCUCCCAGCAGGAUCCACACCUGUUAGCAGGGCGAGAAGAGCGAGCUGCCAGCCUGUUACGCGGCAAUGCUCUCUGUGCACGUUGUAGGGCCAAAUCACAAACAUGAGGCUGCAAUAAAACGCAACAUCUCCGUAAAUCUGUCACCCGCCGGACACGGCUGGAAAUGCCUGGGUCUCACCCUCCUGUGCAAAACUCCCAGCUCAGUGUUAUCAGCAAACUCAGAAAGCCAACAUUUACAAAACCAGCAAGUAUCAGCAGAGUCAGCUAUUGGAAGUACAUGCAGGUUACUCAAUCUGAUUCAUGUCUUCUGCCUAUCUGAUUCUUUUGAAUUCUGCAAGCCUGAAUGACCAGUUCUAUGGCUAUUAGAGGAGAUGUUUGACCUGGUCUCAGACAAACCUUUUAUGUAUAGCCUGGAUCACGGAAUCAAAG
rnacentral:lncRNA from 1 species